AAACAUAACAUAGAGAGUCCUGCCUGCCCAGUGACAAAAAGUUAAACGGCCGCGGUAUCUUGACCGUGCGAAGGUAGCAUAAUCACUUGUCUCCUAAAUAGAGACUGGUAUGAAUGGCAAGACGGAACUUAACUGUCUCCUUUUCUUGUAUCUUAAUUUCACUUUCCCGUGAAGAGGCGGGAAGAUAUUCGCUAGACGAGAAGACCCUGUCGAGCUUAAGCAAAAUACUAAUUUCUAAUUCCUUUUAAUUGUAUUCUAAUCUUUUUCGCUAAAUGCAAUUAAGAGUAAAUUAUUAGUACAAGCUUUGGUUGGGGCAACCGCGGAGAAGAAAAACCCUCCGCUUACAAUAGAUAAAAAUGAGACCCUACAAGUCUAAUAUUGUACAAACAAGUCAACUGAUCCACCACGGUGAUCAAAGGAAAAAGUUACCGCAGGGAUAACAGCGUUAUCUUUUCUGAGAGUUCACAUUGACGAAAAGGUUUGCGACCUCGAUGUUGGAUCGGGACAUCCUAAGGGUGCAGAAGCUUUUAAGGGUUGGUCUGUUCGACCAUUAAAGUCCU
rnacentral:rRNA from 1 species